UUUUUUUCUUCUUGAAGUUUCACAAAACUUCAAAGAUUAUUUUGUUUUUGAUGGAAGGAUACAGAUGCAAGAACACAAAAGGGCAAAAUAUUUAACACGACUAUCUCCAGCUGGCAAGUUUUAUAUUUUCUUUUCUUUAAUUUCUUUCAAUGCUGAUGUAGAAUGAGGAAGAAACCUAAUUUGCAUGGAAAGAUCCAACAGCACGAGGUAACAUCUCUCAUGAGGGAUAAAUGCUUAGAAUUUUGAAGAUCUUUUGCUUUGCAUGAUUGGUGAAAGGUGAUUUGCUAUCAUGUGAUCUAUAAAGGGAAUAACUUCAGGAAAAAGCAGAGGCGUGAUAAAAUAUUCUAGGCAAGCAUAUUUAAAAUAAAAUUAUUUUGAUAACAGUGAUUCAAUGCACAUUGAAAAGGCUGAAAAAAAUUAAAUUUCAUGUUUUCUGAAAAAUUAGCUUCUAAUUUUAAAGAUGUCAUCCUAUGCAAUCAGAAUUACAGAAAUACAGAUUAUUUAAUAAAUUCAUAUAUCUGCAUGCUUUGGCUGAUCCGCAUUACUUCAUCUCCCAGUUGUGAGUCAGGAUCAUCAAAUAUAAAUUUACAUUGCAGAAAAUAUCUACUGUAUUUUAUUAUUCUACAUAAAUUCAUAUAUAAUUAAAAUAUACAUGGCUGUAUCUUAAAGACCACUUACCAAAUAUACCAUAAAAGUAUUGUAAAUUGCAUUAUAAAACAAACCAGUACAAACUAAGUAUUGUUAAAUUUAAAAUAACUGGAUGUAAGCUAAUUAACAUAUAUUCAUUUUUUUACAGAUUCUAGAGAAUGCCUCGAGUCCUUUGUGUAAAAAAGCACGGUAUAAAUAUGAAUUAAAAAAUAAGCACUCAAGCAAAACUUAUAGCAAUAACUCUGAAUAUUUCCCAUGUUCUCUGAAAGGAAAUGUUUGGCAAAGGGAUGGAAAGUGCCUCUUUACUCUUCACAACUGGGAUUAGCACUAAGAGACAAACAAAAACAAAAACUAGUUUCUAAUUUGUGCAUGAAUUGCCUGAAUGAGGGAAAAUGCAUGUACAACAAUGGCACUUGUCCUGUAAUUGUCUAUUAGAUGCUGCUCCUCCCAUCAUUGCCCUUUUGCUGUCUUAAGGCUCUGAAUCUCCAUAUCUUCUGCUGCCUACCCCAGGGAAGUAAGAAGAGAAACGUUCUCCAAAGAAAAUGAACGCUGAAGCACGGGAUAGACUCUGCUUUACAGCAUAUUCGGAUAAGCUAAUGUGCAGACAAUGUAAUGUUAUUUGAAAGUAGAUAUUUCUUAUAAGGCCAAAAUACAUGCAUGUACUGAACAUAUAUCAAGGGAGCAAGAUAAAACAUUAGCGUCUGAAAGUGAAAGAUAUGUUUGUGUCUAAUACAUUGUAGAAAUUCUCCUGAAAUGGUUUAUCCAUGUAAAAAUACAGCCCCUCUGAUACUGUCAUGAUCCAUAAGAUUCAGAGUGAUCUUCUGAAUUAAGUUUGGUUCACUAAGUUGAGAAAGGUUUUAACUCAUGUCAAAAUUUCCCUAGACCUGAAAAAUUAUUUUGAAAAUGAAAAAAAAAGGUAGCUUGCUUGGUUGUGCUGCUUUUAAAUUUCUCUCCUUUCUGACAUUCUAUUCAGAUUUGCCACAUAUCAUAAAUUCUAAAAGGUACUACAUUAUCUAUCUAUCUAUACAUCCAUCCAUCUAUCUAUCUAGAUAUCACUUAACUAUCUAUGAACUGUGGAAAAUUGCAGGAAUGUCCAACCACUUUAUUUGUAAUGAAAUAGAAAAAUAAAAAAGGAUAUAAACAAUAUAAGCUACAGAUUCAAGUCUACAAAUUCAGUCUAGCACCUAGCACAGGAUUGGAAACAAAGGAGGUCUUCUACAUUAAUUUUUAGAUGAAAUUAAUUACCACUAUUUUUGCAAAGGUACAUUAUAUUAUAACAACAAAUGCAUUAUUUAGCCUUAAACAAUCACAAAGAAUUGGGAAAAUUUUGUAAUUUAGAGAUCCCCAAUAUUGAGGAAGCAUAUUUACAAAAACUAAGAAAAUAAUAUUACCCAGGAAAAGCAACUUACCAAAGUUAGGAAUAUGAAAUCUCCAAUGACUUUUAAGCCUCAAAACAUAUGCUUAGUCAACAUAUGGUAUGGUAUUUUAUACUUGGAAACCUUUUUUUUGAUUGACUAGAUUUAGGCCAAAAGCCAGAGGAAUCAGUGAGUCAGUCUCUAUCAGUUCUUCUUGAUUAUAGCUACCACUAGCCAAGGUUUGUGUUUCAUAUGAUGGUUGCAACAGUGGACCAAGACAUAUCUCUUCUGCAUUUCUCACCCUGGCAAUAGCUGUAAUAUUCCCUAUAAUUUGGAAAUACCUGAAAUGUGAGUGGUAAGUGUACCCUGGCUGAUUAGAACACUAACGACAAUACAACUUGGUCUGUAGACUUAUUACUUUCAUGGUGGAAGCCCAGCUGAACUGUUGUGACUUCAGCAGAAAGAAUGAACAAGUCAAGCAGCUACAGAGACAGACACUAAUAUUAAGCCAAGACUCUUAAACCAAUCUUAUCCCCCCAGGAUGACUACACUCAACUGACCACCUUUCUACCUCUAUUGAAAGCACACACAUAUGUGAGUGCACAAACACAUGACCACACACACACACACACACACACACACACACACACACACCUUAACGGCUUUUUAAUAAUUUUAGGGCUUAUAAUUUAAGAAAAUAACAACAUAAGCUGUCUAACUUAAGCAAGACUAACUGAUAUCCCUUGGCACACAUCUUUGGUGCUGUAUAAGCUCCUUAUUACCAUGCCAGAAAAUUUCCCCAUCAGUGUGUCAUACUUCCUGAAUUUCUAUCCAUUACAAAGACAUCUGUUUAUUAAACAUUUCUAAAUUUCAGAUAUCUUUGUUUUAGGACCUUCAUAGUCUUUCACAUACAAGAAGGAAUUCAACUCAAAUGCUUCUUUUCCUCCAAGACCAGCUCAAGUCGUUAAUAAGCCGAUGUGCGUUUAUCCGACCGAAUUCUGUUGUUCCUACCAUCACGCUCAGGAGAGGUGUCCUGAAUAAAUGUGUGUUGACUGAGGAAAGGGAGAGGCAGAUUACCCACACUGGAAAACUUUACUUUGUGGGUAGAGAGGUGAAUGAGUGAGAUUAGUUAGGUCAGAGGAAGGCUUUAAAGUCAUUAAGACUAAAUUUGAAAUAACCACCUAUGGGCAUGUUCUGUUUGACCAAAGCAGCAGCAGACAGCAUAUCCAUAUCUGCGAGGACAGGUGAGUUGGUUUGGUUCUAUUUGUGGCAGAAGGACAGCAUUAAAAACAAGGAGAUGGUACCAAGACUUGCAAGUGCUGUCCUUAUCCAUUGACAACACUCAUGCAGAGAGCAAUCACCAAGAUGACAUUUUUGAAUAACAAGAAUAAUACGUGGAGGAGGUGGGGAGUGGUUUUGGUAGACUUAGAUAUCUUUCAAUCAUCACAAAAGUAUGACUAGUUGUCAAGGUCUUGUAAUAUAUUUUUAUAAGCUGCUUAAGUUAUCUUUUGAAUAAGAUAAAAUAUGAAUAAAAACACAUUAAUUUAAGUGUUAUAGAGAUUAUAGUAAAUAUUUUAUAAAUGCUCCCAAGAAAAAAUAAAUGACUGUAUUUGUAUGGCAAGAGGAGAUCUACUGAAAGAAAACAGUCCACCAAGAAUAUCUAGAAACCCAUAUAUUUUCAUUUUUAUGUAAAAUAACCACUAUGCCUUCUUUUAUCUUAAUUCAUAUACUGCAGCCGCUUAGACUCUUUAAUGGAGUCAACUCUAAUUUAAAUUUUCUAUACUCAAAAUGAGAUCUAACAGCUUACUCAGAUUAAAACAUUUUAAAAAUAAAUUUUAUUUCCUUUUCCCUCAAAUCGCUAGAGAUAUUUUCGGUUUCAUGAAUGGUUUUACUGUUAUUUUCUUAUUUUACAUUGUGUGAAAAUCAUGUGACUGUAAUUGAAGUUCACAUGAAAAAUGAAGGAGACCCUCCUUAGCAGCCAAAGUUGAUUUUCAUCAAAAACAGCUAGAAAAUUCUGGGACAGAAAAUAAGAUGUACAGAAAGUUAAAUGAUAUUUUAAUGAACUGCUACUGGAGAAUGGACAGUGCUCAUGUAAUUUUCAGUCUCAUGUUUCCAUUUUUUCUGCUACUAUUUGCAAAUUAUUUGUAGCCCAGCAUUUUCUACCCUACUCUGUCUUCUUUUGUCCUGUGAUAAGCAAUCACCUGUAUAAGAGUUGUUCCUCUAAUAUUCAGCAUGAAACUUGUAAUUUCAUAGUCAGAUCUUUUCUGUACCAUUGUGUAAGAGUUCUCUAGAAGAUUAUCCCAAAGAUUAUGGUCAAGGAAUUCCACCUACAAGUAGCUGUAGGAAGCAGUGCUACAGGGCAGCAUUCUUCUCAUUAAUAAACUGCCUGGCUUCCUAGUGUCUCUGCAAAGUGCCCUGUUACAUGACCUAGCUGCAGCCAAUUCUCAUUUUCUAACUCAUUCCUAAAAGCAUUUCUCCAAGCCCACCUACACAGAGACUCAUAUUUUAACUGCAAAGUACUUUACCACAGCCACACUCCAUGCCCUCUCUACUUGGAUGCAGCAUCUCCAAAUGCACUGGAGGACUGAACCUUUCAUAAAUCAGUAGAAAAAUCUUCCCUUCCUUCCCUCCCUCUCUAUUUGAAACCAUCAGUAAAAUGCCUACAUGAACUACUGGGAGCUUGAUGUAUGUUAUUAUGUUAUCAUUUUACAGGUGAGAAAAUAGAUCAUGGAGUGGUUAGACUCUAUAUCAAAUUUUUAACAGAUGACAAUUCAGUGUAAGUGUUUUGCUCUGCCAGCCAAUCACUCAUUGAUUAGGUCUAUGCCCCCUCUCAUUUAGGGCGUGUGCUAAAAAAAAUGGAAGCUCUCAAUUGUUUAUCCAAAAUAAAAGAGAAACAUAAGUAAAGAACCAGUUAGUAAAAUAGAGGAAUGCACACAUUUCGGGCAAUGUAAAGUAUUUCAGAUAAAAGGCAAUGUUCAUUCUAAACAUUGUUCAGUUUGUGUCUAAAAGUUUCAUUGUCCUUUGCAAAUGAACUAUACUUCAGUAAAACUUUAAAAGGAAAGAAAGUAAAAGUUUCAUUAUCAACAAAGUAAAUCCUUAAGUGCUGCUAUGAAACGAGGCAUGCAGUAACCCACAAACAUUUAAAAAUCAAUUUAGAGUUCCCGUCGUGGCUCAGCAGUUAAUGAACUCCAUGAGGAUGCGAGUUUGAUUCCUGGCCUUGAUCAGUGGGUUAGGGAUCUGGCGUUGCUGUGGCUGUGUGUAGGCCUGCAGCUACAGUUCCGAUUCGACCUCUAGCCUGCCCAUAUGCUGUGGGUGUGGCCCUAAGAAGAUAAAAAAAGACAAAAAAUAAAU
rnacentral:lncRNA from 1 species